rnacentral:ncRNA from 1 species
CCAGAAGAGGCGCGUUACCCAGGUACGGUGUUGGAAGAGCCAAUCUAAAGAAAACACCUGAGGGGGAGUAACGCCGAGGUGGUGAAGUGCAUGGCGGCAUUCAUCAUCGGCUACAGGGGCUGAAUCCCUUGAGUUGUCACCAGAAACGUUCGCAGUCGGGCGUUUCACAAGUGGUGGAGCACUUCUGGGU